GCAUCAACAGAAAUGCAUACAUUAAAACUGGAACGCUACAGAGAUUAUCAUGACCUCUUCACAAGGAUGACACGCAGAUUCAUGAGGUAUUACAUAUUCUU
rnacentral:snRNA from 1 species